rnacentral:tRNA from 1 species
AGACAAUUAGUUUCAAUAAAAACAUUUGAUUUCGGCUCAAAAGACUGCAGUUAAAAUCCGCAAUUGUCCA